GGCACUUCUUUGCUAAAACCUAGAGGUUUGGCCACGGGAACUGAAAACCGGUGCUACAGCCUCAUCUUCUGUCUUUUUCCUGGGGAACAUGAGCUUCGAUGACCUGAGAACUGGCUGCAUUUCCUGCCCCAUGGCUCAGAUCUGGCCGCUUCUGUAUGCUGACAUGAUUCAGCUCACUGGCCGUCCCUUGGUGGAAUCUGCAACUUUGCAUGUCCGGCGUUUGAGCAUGUGCUUGGAUCGAUGAUGACCCCCACAAAUGCAUUCCUUGGAAAUCUGAACAAAAUGAGUGAGAAAACCCUACCGUCUCCUCAUCGGAACUGAGGUCCAACACGUGGCUCCCAAAAGGAAAGUAGGGAGAGGUUGAGGUUGCGUUUGCUGCCGUGUGUGUGUACAGCCACGUUGUUCAAGUGGAGGGUUGUGGCCGUCUCAUGGGGAGAAGAGCCAUUGGGAAAGGAGCCUGGGAUGCCAAUCCAGGUGGGAAGGCUAGGGACAGCGUGCCAUCUCUGGGUUCCUUGGUCGAGCCAGGACUUCUGUCCCCUGCCACGGACGAGCAUGCGGCUAGGAAAGGAAGCGUGAACCAUUGGUGGUCCUAUCGAGUGCAUUUGAGUUCUACAGGCCGCCGCCACCGGCUACUCGUUGCCUUGUGCCCUCACGGAAAGAGAAGUCUAUGCUCAGGGUCAGAGCAGGAUUCCUGGCCUAGGGCUGGCUCUUUGUCAUGUUCUGCUUGGGAGACCAGAUGCAGUUUAGGUUUCUCAUGAUGAGGGGAGAAAUCCAAUGGGCCAUUGUCCCCGGGCGGUUGGCCAAGCUGAUGGCUCCUCCUCGGGUUGUUUCCGGCUUGUGUGUGCUGUGUGAACAGGCUAGAAAAUGCCUUAGUCAAGAUAAGUCACAGCAAGCUUCUUUGGUGAGGGGUGGCUCUGGCAUCUUUCCAUGACACGUUGGGAUCCCGGUGGAGAGGGAAGGGCAAGGCUACCGAUAAAGACACAUGAAAUGGCUGGCUAAGCCCACAUGUUUAUUUGUGGGUGGACAGAUUGACAGAGGCCAUAGGCUUCCAGGAACACUUUUGAUAUCCCCUCAGGAGCAUUUGGAGGCACGUGUAGAGAGGGAACACGGGAGAACUUCUGUGGACUGUCCCGCCUUUUUCCCCUCCUUGGUCGAUUUACUUCAUGGCGGGUCCCUAUGCUAGUGAAUGGUUGCCUUUGUGGCACAGUAUGGUGUCUUCUCAUGGGGGCUGAUUUGGAGGUCGUGGGGUGUUUUGUCCCUGUCUGUCCACGUUCCCCCUGUGUUGAAGGUGUGAGGGUGUUCCUGAGUCCAGCCCAACAUCUUUACUAAACCUGGCCCACAUAGCGUUCCCUGAGGUUUGCAGCUCUUCCCGGAGGUCACUGGGCACAACCAUGCGGAAAAAAGGGAGUCGGCUGCCAAGGAAAGGCUAUAGAUUUAAAGGCGGGUGAGGGUGUGUGGUGCGGGGGUCAUUUUUACUGCCACGCGCUGGUGCAUCCAGACUGUGGUAUCCGGUGUGCCUGGCCACAGGCCAGACGAGUCAUAGCGGUUCAAGUGUCUCGGCUGUUGGCUGGGUUCUCUUAAUUGCAUGGCUGUGGGUCACACAUUGCUUCUAGAAGACCUGGGCCUCACUGUUUCUCCGAGGUCACGUCACUGACGGGCCCGGAGUGUGAAUGUGCCAGGUACCACUGCAGUUGACCCCAUUGGUGCAAUGGUGUUCUCCGCCACAGUGGGCAUUGGAAUGGCUCCCAUGCCAUUUGGUUGCAAGGGUUUCCCCACCACGUUGGGCUUCAGAAUGUUUCCCAUGUCAUUACCUCUGUGUGUGAACCAAGGGUAGGUCAUCUGUCUUGGCAGCAGCUCAGGAAGUGUGCCUACUGGUGAGUCUCGCUUGAUCAGUCCAGGUGUUCCUCACGUGCCCUUUGUCACGGUUCCCUUCGAGCUGCUUUUGAUGAAGGCCGUCAUAUUCGGCCAAGGCCCCUUCCCUUGUGGAAGAUCUCUUCCCCGUAAGAGCGUGGCACUUGUGUGGAAGAAUAUGUGCCAAGGGCGGGCGUGUUCCCCUAGAUGGCACCGGCUCUUAGUCUGAGGGGCCACAGUUGCCCAGAGGGUGUCUCAGGGGUUUAGGAAGACAUCCUUCUGCUGUGGCGGAUGGGAGAGCACUCAGGAGUGGAAUUGCAGUGCCCGAGACCAGGGGGAUUUUGGACAGCGGUGCUCUAUGUCCUGAUGGCCGCACCCUCUGAAGGCGUCAGCUCUAUGUUGCUUUCACGUUUCCCUGCGGACCCACAGGCAAGAUCUGCAGCAAAUUAAAUGUCGAGGGGAGACAGAGCACGCAUCACUGAGGGAUAUCGCCCUUUCGCUCGGUGCACCCGUGCACCCUCCUAAAGAACGCAUGUGUUCUCUCACCCCGAGCCAGGUGGAAUGCCAGGAAAGGAAUUCCAGCAGCAGAUCAACCUGGGACCAUCUGUAUAAUCCCUGACACCCGGUGAAGUGAGGAGGAGGAGUCUCACAGGGGUGUUGGCCCGCAUUCCAUGAGGAUCCUGGUUUAACCCUUGUUGCGGUGGAGUGUCAGUUAAUGAAUGGCGGCAGCAGCGUGGGGCCUUCUGGAUAGUCCAUGAUACCCAGUGAAGUGAGGACAGUGUGGCAAGGCGAGGCAAGGCAAGGUGAAGGAGUGUCGGAGGGGUGUUGGCGUGAAGUCCUUGAGCUUCCUGGUGGAAACCUUGUGGCAGUGGAAUGCCAGGGAACGAAUGCCAGCAGCAGCCUGGAGCCCUCCAUAUAAUCCGUGAUACCCGGCGAAGUGAGGACGAUGCAGAAAGGCAAGGUGUGGUGUAGGAGUCUUGGAGGGGUGUUGGCGUGCAGUCCGUAAGGAUCCUGGUUUAACCCUUGUGGCGUUCAACUUAGAAUCAGCACUUGUUUUUUUAUGAAAGAACUAAUUUUUUUCACCUUGAGAAGUGAAAUGAUGGAGAAUAUCAUGACUAAAUCUGCCAUCCAAACCUCACAGUCCAGUGGGAAUUCUCACACUGCAUGGAUCAAGUACUGUGUUUCAUAUGAAAGAGAGGUGACAUAAAGGACAGGAUUCAGAAUAAGUCUGCCUUUCCAUCCUUAAGGUCCAUUCUCAAACUGAUGGAAGUGACUUUGGAAUUGCAUGGAAUACUCACCACCAUAAAAAAGUGCUGAUUUUGUUGCUUUCACCUGUUCCCUCUCCUGGGCUGGAACAAAAUAAUGAACUCCAAAGUUCCACAGAUAUGGACCACUGGUUGAGUUUAAUAUGAAAGAGUUUAUCCCUCUUCUUGAGAGGUGACAUGAAGGAAAGUAUUGAAAAUCAUUUUACCAUCUCAUCCUCAAAUGCCAGUGGGAAUUGUAACAUCAGUUGGAAGUAAUAUUGGAAUUGCAUGGAAUUCUUACCACCCCACCAAAGAAGAGCUGGUUUUGUCACUUCUGCCAGCUCCUUAUCUAAGAAGAAAUCCAAUGAUGCACUCUCAAGAAUUUUUGCAUUUUCUCAGUCUUCCUACUAAUGCCUCAUACAGGAAUUAAGCAUGGAGAUGAAAGUAAAGCCAUUCCUCACCAGUGUGGCAGAGAGAAACUGUUUCUACUGAGGGGUGUGCUUGGCCAAAUGUACUGAAUCCUCAGCAGUGUGGCCUGGUGAGCACCACCCUGACAAUAGGAUGGGAAGUAUUUCAUGGUUGACAUGUUCCAAAAACUGGGUUUCAUAAGGAUGAGUUUAUCCCUUCCCCGUGAGAUGAGACAUGAAGGAAAGUGUUGGGAAUAAUUCUACUUCCCAUCAUCAAAGGCCUGUGUGAAUUCUCACAAAGGUGAUAGAGCCUAGAAGGAAAGGGAAACUGUCUAUGCUUUUGCCUUAACCUUUGAAUGUCAGUUCUAGAGAAGGAGGUGACAACUUACUUCUCAGCCAGUGCUCUCCCUUCCCACCUGUGGUCCUUUGGACACCCUCGCAGAAGAUGACUUCUUGGGAACUCUUUUGGGAAUGAAUGAUACCAGUAAAUCCCUGAAGCAAGAUUCUUCAGACAGAGCCUAUUCACCUACCUGUUGUCCAAGGGCUACCCUCUGAAGGUGAUGACCACAGAGACGAGGUGGAUUUGUUACUGUGGGUACCAUUACUUCUACCAUCAGCUUCUUCAAAACAAUGAUACAGUCUUCUUUGUGCAUGGAAACGCUUCUAUUUCCUGUGUUGCAGUGGAUUCCUCCUGCAGAUAAGAAAUGCUUAACUGAGAAAUGCUCAUGUUGGGAUAUCAUCGAUGAGACUUUAAUUUGGGCAUGGUGACUGUUUCCCUUGCUUCCACUUGACUCAAUCCCAGGAGCCUCAGUAGAGGAAAUAUUAUUGCACAAGAAACUCAGAAUGAUGGAAUUGCUCAGUGCUCCCAUAAAUAUACAUUUAUAAUUUUCAUUUGCCAUGUAGUAAAUUUAAAAAUUAAGUUCUAUUAAAAUUUUUUCAAAAAUUCAAAGCAUAUCUAAAUAUCUAAUAUAUAAAUUAAGUGCCCUCCUCUCUCCCAAUUCUAUCUCCUAGAGUUAUCCUCUAUUAAAUAAGUUGUGUGCAUUCUUUAAGUGGAUAGAUGCACACACACACAAACACACACACACAAGAUAUUUUGGGGGGUUCUGAAAGUGGAGCUAUAUUGUACACAUUAUUCUUCAAAUUGCAUUUCAUUUAACAGUUUUUUCAAUACCUUUUUCUGUUUCAGUAAUACAUAUCUGUGUCAUUUGUUGAAUGACUGCAUGAUUGUUUUGUACAUGAAAUAUAAUUAAAUGUUUUAAGCAUUUCUCAUUCAUAGAUAUUUAUGUUAGCACCAAAUUUCUGUGCAAUGAACCUCCCUAUAUAUCAAUAAUUUGCAUUUGUCUAUUAUAUCAUAAUAAAUUACUCAGCAGUGAAAAUACUGGGAUUAAGUAUAUGCACAUUUCAAAUUUUGAAAAUGAUCACAAGAUUUCCUUUAAAAUGUGGUAACAACUUUAUCCUCAAAUGGCAAUGAAUGAGAUUGCCAGCUUUCCCACAACCUCACAGAUAAUGAAUUUUAUGACUAUUUAAAAUCUUUGCCAGUGUGAUAGCCCAAACUAUUGUCUUAAAUUGUAUUUCUUUCAUUUUUGAGUGUGAUCAUUUUUUCAUAUGUUUAUUAGCCAUCUGUAUUUUUAAAUUUUCUUUUUAUAUCCAAUUUUGGGGGUGGGUGGAGGUUUUAAUCUCUUGCUAAUUUCAGAGAGCUCAUUUAUUAUUGGGGGAAUAAGCUUUCGAUUGUCAAGCAUUACAGAUAUUUUUUACACACUUUUAAACUUCAUUUUUGUUAUAAGAAUGUGUAUGACUGUUAUGUGUCCAAGUAUAACCAUGUUCGCUUCUAUGGCUUCUGAGUUUCAUGUCAUUUUAGAAAGAUAUUUACACUGAUCCCAUAAAACUCUCCACCUAUGUUAACUUCUAAUUAUUUUGUGUUUUUUAAUUCAAAUUCUUAAAUCAUGAGAAAGUUUUUUUAUUUCAAAUCUUAAAGUUGCCAAGUUAUUUGCCAUUACUUGCGAUUAUUUGCCAAUAAUUGCCCAUUUAUCUGUAAUGCCAUCUUGCAUAUAUGCUGUAUUCUCAUCUGUGACUGGCUCCAUUUUUGUUCUGUGGGUCUGUGUGUCUCUUCUUCUGCCUCCUGUCUCAUGUGUCUUCUCAUUGGAAGAAAUUACAGUUUAGACUGCAAUUUCAUCAACUUCAAUAAAUUAAUUUAGUGGAGAAUUGGUUUUUAACAAUAGUCUUCCUAUCCAAGAACAAGGUAUGUCUUUCUUUUUAUUCAAUAAUUUUAAUUACUGUUAAUAUUUUCACUUUGUGGUGGGGGUAUCUUCUUUCAGUUUAUUUUCUUACUUGCUAAUUUUUCUAUAUCUGGAAGUUUUGUUUUGUUUUGGGGGUAAGUGAUCUCCUUACUCUUUCUCAUGGCUUUUCAGAAUUUUUUUUCAAAUUAUGUACUAAAUCCUUUGAAAAUACUGAUAGUUGUGAUUCUCCUCUUCCAAAUGAUCUGGAUUUUAGUUAUGUUGAUAAAAUUCACUGACUGAUACUUUCAGAGCACUUAAACAAUUGUGGAAAUAUUACCCACCAUUGAUUUAAUUAGGUUUUAAUGGAUACUUCUUGGGUUUGACCAGCAUGUUUUUGCUGGUCUAUUAAGCAAAAAGACUCUCAGAAACCUACUGCAGCAAGGGAAAACACCACUUUGACAAGGUUUAGUAGUGUUUCAAAAGCAGGAAAUUAGGGCUUUGAGGGAUGGGUUGAUGUGGUUUAAGGCAGGAUUUUCAAGGCAGGGAACUGGUUAAGAGUGGGCAAAAUUUGUCCUGCGAUAGUUUGAAGUCGAUGAAAGAGUAAGAUGAGGACCUUGAUGUGAGUUUAGAUAAUCAAAUUUUUGUCUGAUGAAUGAGCUACUUCCCUAUAUGAAUAAUAAGUUAUCAAUGAUGGAAGAACUAUUUGCUUAGAUGAACAGACUGAAUUUAUUUGUUGGUUUACAGUUCUAUCUUGUUUAUAGAACCCUGCUAGGGGUGGUAUCAGGUCUUAGUUCCAAUAGGUAAGUUAUUUUGAUGUAAGUAGUCUCAGUCAUCAAAGUAAGAUGCUAAUUUUAAAUUUGAGAUUCUUGUGUAUUGUGUUAGGAAAAGUCUCUUACCUUUGAUAUAUUUCUAAAGAAUUUUAAUCAAAACCAAGUGGUAGAUAUAAUCAAAUGCUUUUUGCAUAAACAAUUAUAUUAUUCUUUAAACUUUUAUCAUUGUGAAAUAAUUCAUUUUUAAUAUUGAAAUUUCCUUAUAUUCCUUUUAUUGUUUAUUCAGCAAACUCAUUUUGGUUAAAAAGAAGUUUUGCUUUUUAAAUUUACUACUGAAUUAUGAGUAUCUUAAUUUGAUUUGGAAUUUUUGCAGGUGUACUACUUAGAUGAAACUGAUCUGUAAUUUUCUUUUUUGUUCUGUUUUUGUCAUGUUUGUAUAUUAGAUCUUCUGGUUGUGUUAAAAUAAUUUUAAGGAUUUUCUUUUUACUCUGUGCUCUAGAAUGGGUUGAAAAGGUUUGGCAUUAACAUCAGCAGUUAAACGAACACAUCAUUUAAAUCACCUGAAUUCUCCUUUGUUUUUGGUGGUUUGGAGUAGAACUGAGGCUAACUAUCUAGAAAGUGUUCUCACUUUUUUCUACGGUUAUUGCUUAUUUUUUGUUUUAUUAUCUUAUAUUUAACUUGUUUUCUACUAGAAAAUCACAGUCCAAGUAGAUUUGCAAACACGGUAUGUAGGAUGAAGUAAUACAAAGUGUUCUUUCAUCACUCUGUUAAUUUCUCUUGUCUCAAUUAAUAUCCAUUUUCAUUCCAGUCUUGGUUGUUUCUGCUAUGUCUUUUUUAAUGAAAUGAGUUUGACUCAUGGAUUUUUAUCAUCACUAGUUCUCCAUUCCCCUGUUCCCCAAUCAGCUCUUUGGUAUAAUUUAUCAGUGUUGUUUUUUUUAAUGUUCUAAUUUAUUUAUAUAUUUUUUCUGUAUUCCUCUGUGGCUUUUUCCUAAUAAAUUCUUAAACAUGUGUAAUCCA